AACGAGCGCAACCCUUAUCCUUUGUUGCCAGCGGUUAGGCCGGGAACUCAAAGGAGACUGCCAGUGAUAAACUGGAGGAAGGUGGGGAUGACGUCAAGUCAUCAUGGCCCUUACGACCAGGGCUACACACGUGCUACAAUGGCGCAUACAAAGAGAAGCGACCUCGCGAGAGCAAGCGGACCUCAUAAAGUGCGUCGUAGUCCGGAUUGGAGUCUGCAACUCGACUCCAUGAAGUCGGAAUCGCUAGUAAUCGUGGAUCAGAAUGCCACGGUGAAUACGUUCCCGGGCCUUGUACACACCGCCCGUCACACCAUGGGAGUGGGUUGCAAAAGAAGUAGGUAGCUUAACCUUCGGGAGGGCGCUUACCACUUUGUGAUUCAUGACUGGGGUGAAGUCGUAACAAGGUAACCGUAGGGGAACCUGCGGUUGGA
rnacentral:rRNA from 1 species